CGGCGGACGGGUGAGUAACACGUGAGUAACCUACCUAUAAGACUGGGAUAACUCCGGGAAACCGGGGCUAAUACCGGAUAACACAUGAAACCGCAUGGUUUCAUGAUGAAAGACUGUUUUGCUGUCACUUAUAGAUGGACCCGCGGCGUAUUAGCUAGUUGGUAAGGUAACGGCUUACCAAGGCAACGAUACGUAGCCGACCUGAGAGGGUGAUCGGCCACACUGGAACUGAGACACGGUCCAG
rnacentral:rRNA from 1 species